rnacentral:rRNA from 1 species
AGUGAACGCUGGCGGUAGGCCUAACACAUGCAAGUCGAACGGCAGCACAGAGGAGCUUGCUCCUUGGGUGGCGAGUGGCGGACGGGUGAGGAAUGCAUCGGAAUCUACUCUGUCGUGGGGGAUAACGUAGGGAAACUUACGCUAAUACCGCAUACGACCUACGGGUGAAAGCAGGAGACCUUCGGGCCUUGCGCGAUUGAAUGAGCCGAUGUCGGAUUAGCUAGUUGGCGGGGUAAAGGCCCACCAAGGCGACGAUCCGUAGCUGGUCUGAGAGGAUGAUCAGCCACACUGGAACUGAGACACGGUCCAGACUCCUACGGGAGGCAGCAGUGGGGAAUAUUGGACAAUGGGCGCAAGCCUGAUCCAGCCAUACCGCGUGGGUGAAGAAGGCCUUCGGGUUGUAAAGCCCUUUUGUUGGGAAAGAAAUCCAGCUGGCUAAUACCCGGUUGGGAUGACGGUACCCAAAGAAUAAGCACCGGCUAACUUCGUGCCAGCAGCCGCGGUAA